rnacentral:rRNA from 1 species
UUUUUUGCCGGGGGGGGGGGAUCGGAGGGAUCAUUACCGAGUUUACAACUCCCAAACCCAAUGUGAACGUUACCAAACUGUUGCCUCGGCGGGGUCACGCCCCGGGUGCGUCGCAGCCCCGGAACCAGGCGCCCGCCGGAGGAACCAACCAAACUCUUUCUGUAGUCCCCUCGCGGACGUAUUUCUUACAGCUCUGAGCAAAAAUUCAAAAUGAAUCAAAACUUUCAACAACGGAUCUCUUGGUUCUGGCAUCGAUGAAGAACGCAGCGAAAUGCGAUAAGUAAUGUGAAUUGCAGAAUUCAGUGAAUCAUCGAAUCUUUGAACGCACAUUGCGCCCGCCAGUAUUCUGGCGGGCAUGCCUGUCCGAGCGUCAUUUCAACCCUCGAACCCCUCCGGGGGAUCGGCGUUGGGGAUCGGGACCCCUCACACGGGUGCCGGCCCCGAAAUACAGUGGCGGUCUCGCCGCAGCCUCUCCUGCGCAGUAGUUUGCACAACUCGCACCGGGAGCGCGGCGCGUCCACGUCCGUAAAACACCCAACUUUCUGAAAUGUUGACCUCGGAUCAGGUAGAAACCCCG